UGGGCUCCGAGCGAGCUUGCCGGCCGUCUCUACCUACCUCUGAAAAAACAGUAAAAAUAAUACAGUAAAAUACAAACUAAACCUAGGGAAAACAAAUUAUUUAAAAAGUUCUAGAAAUCUAGAAAACCUGUGGAAGUUUCGGAGAAUUGUAGCACAAAUAUAUGUCUUUGUUAAUUACAAUGAUUUUCAUUCGGGAUCUAAGAUAGGAAAAUUUCACUUCUGUGGUCAUCCACGCACCUAAUGGAAAUAGUUCAAGUGCCAGCACCGCUUUAAAAUUUUAAUAAUGUCAAAAUAAAGCGAUUAUUUUGUAACUUUAAUUUAACUAUCAUUUGAUUUAAAACUCAAAAUAAAAUAAAAUUAUUAUUCAAACUA